rnacentral:rRNA from 1 species
GACGAACGCUGGCGGCGUGCUUAACACAUGCAAGUCGAGCGAUGAAGCUCCUUCGGGAGUGGAUUAGCGGCGGACGGGUGAGUAACACGUGGGCAACCUGCCUUAUAGAGAGGAAUAGCCAUUCGAAAGGAUGAUUAAUACCUCAUAAUAUUGUAGCUUCGCAUGGAGCAACAAUCAAAGGAGCAAUCCACUAUAAGAUGGGCCCGCGGCGCAUUAGCUAGUUGGUGAGGUAACGGCUCACCAAGGCGACGAUGCGUAGCCGACCUGAGAGGGUGAUCGGCCACAUUGGGACUGAGACACGGCCCAGACUCCUACGGGAGGCAGCAGUGGGGAAUAUUGCACAAUGGGGGAAACCCUGAUGCAGCAACGCCGCGUGAGUGAUGACGGCCUUCGGGUUGUAAAGCUCUGUCUUCAGGGACGAUAAUGACGGUACCUGAGGAGGAAGCCACGGCUAACUACGUGCCAGCAGCCGCCGUAACAC